UGAGUAACCUGCCCUUCACUCUGGGAUAACUCCGGGAAACCGGGCUAAUACUGGAUAUGACCUACUCGGGUGUCCGAUGUGGGUGGAAAGAUUUAUUGGUGAGGGAUGGACUCGCGGCCUAUCAGCUUGUUGGUGAGGUAAUGGCUCACCAAGGCGACGACGGGUAGCCGGCCCGAGAGGGUGACCGGCCACACUGGGACUGAGACACGGCCCAGACUCCUACGGGAGGCA
rnacentral:rRNA from 1 species